GGGGAACCUUUUACAAAAGGUGAAAAGGGAGAUAAAGGAGAACCUGGGCUAAUAGGAUCACAGGGAAUAAAGGGCGAACCUGGAGAUCUUGGUCCCCCUGGUUUAAUAGGAAGCCCAGGAAUAAAGGGUCAGCAAGGACCCGCAGGACCUAUGGGACCCAGAGGACCACCAGGAGAUAUUGUAUGUAUAGU